rnacentral:rRNA from 1 species
GUUUGAUCCUGGCUCAGAUUGAACGCUGGCGGCAGGCCUAACACAUGCAAGUCGAGCGGUAGCACAGAGAGCUUGCUCUCGGGUGACGAGCGGCGGACGGGUGAGUAAUGUCUGGGAAACUGCCUGAUGGAGGGGGAUAACUACUAAACGGUAGCUAAUACCGCAUAACGUCGCAAGACCAAAGUGGGGGACCUUCGGGCCUCAUGCCAUCAGAUGUGCCCAGAUGGGAUUAGCUAGUAGGUGGGGUAACGGCUCACCUAGGCGACGAUCCCUAGCUGGUCUGAGAGGAUGACCAGCCACACUGGAACUGAGACACGGUCCAGACUCCUACGGGAGGCAGCAGUGGGGAAUAUUGCACAAUGGGCGCAAGCCUGAUGCAGCCAUGCCGCGUGUGUGAAGAAGGCCUUCGGGUUGUAAAGCACUUUCAGCGGGGAGGAAGGCGAUAAGGUUAAUAACCUUGUCGAUUGACGUUACCCGCAGAAGAAGCACCGGCUAACUCCGUGCCAGCAGCCGCGGUAAUACGGAGGGUGCAAGCGUUAAUCGGAAUUACUGGGCGUAAAGCGCACGCAGGCGGUCUGUCAAGUCGGAUGUGAAAUCCCCGGGCUCAACCUGGGAACUGCAUUCGAAACUGGCAGGCUAGAGUCUUGUAGAGGGGGGUAGAAUUCCAGGUGUAGCGGUGAAAUGCGUAGAGAUCUGGAGGAAUACCGGUGGCGAAGGCGGCCCCCUGGACAAAGACUGACGCUCAGGUGCGAAAGCGUGGGGAGCAAACAGGAUUAGAUACCCUGGUAGUCCACGCCGUAAACGAUGUCGAUUUGGAGGUUGUGCCCUUGAGGCGUGGCUUCCGGAGCUAACGCGUUAAAUCGACCGCCUGGGGAGUACGGCCGCAAGGUUAAAACUCAAAUGAAUUGACGGGGGCCCGCACAAGCGGUGGAGCAUGUGGUUUAAUUCGAUGCAACGCGAAGAACCUUACCUGGUCUUGACAUCCACAGAACUUUCCAGAGAUGGAUUGGUGCCUUCGGGAACUGUGAGACAGGUGCUGCAUGGCUGUCGUCAGCUCGUGUUGUGAAAUGUUGGGUUAAGUCCCGCAACGAGCGCAACCCUUAUCCUUUGUUGCCAGCGGUUAGGCCGGGAACUCAAAGGAGACUGCCAGUGAUAAACUGGAGGAAGGUGGGGAUGACGUCAAGUCAUCAUGGCCCUUACGACCAGGGCUACACACGUGCUACAAUGGCAUAUACAAAGAGAAGCGACCUCGCGAGAGCAAGCGGACCUCAUAAAGUAUGUCGUAGUCCGGAUUGGAGUCUGCAAC